rnacentral:rRNA from 1 species
CCUACGGGUGGCAGCAGUGAGGAAUAUUGGUCAAUGGACGAGAGUCUGAACCAGCCAAGUAGCGUGAAGGAUGACUGCCCUAUGGGUUGUAAACUUCUUUUAUAUGGGAAUAAAAUGUUCCACGUGUGGGAUUUUGUAUGUACCAUAUGAAUAAGGAUCGGCUAAAUCCGGGCCAGCAGCCGCGGUAAUACGGAGGAUCCGAGCGUUAUCCGGGUUUAUUGGGUUUAAAGGGGGGGGAGGGGGAUUGGUAAGUCAGUUGGGAAAGUUUGCGGGUCAACCGUAAUAGUGCAGUUGAAACUGGCAGUCUUGAGUACAGGAGAGGUGGGCGGAAUGCGUGGUGUAGCGGUGAAAUGCUUAGAUAUCACGCAGAACUCCGAUUGCGAAGGCAGCUCACUGGACUGCGACUGACACUGAGGCUCGAAAGUGUGGGGAUCAAACAGGAUUAGAUACCCUUGUAGUC